rnacentral:other from 2 species
UAAUUACCAAAGGAUAAAUAAUCUAUCUUACAUAAAAACCGAGUAAGUGAUUAUACGGGAAUCUAAUUGGUUUGUGGUGUUGAAUGCUGGGUCAUUAAGUAACCUAGAAUCCUAAAGCAAAUCAUGUGAUGCCCACCUGCUACAUAGCGGGCUUUUUAUCACAAUAGAUUAUCCCUUUGGUUUUUAU